CCUCCCUUGGAUGAAUAACAACUCUGAAUGGAGGAUCAAUAUUGUAAUACUCAGAGGCUGUCAAUAUGUGAAAAGGUGCCUCGGACCUGAUGUCUUCUUCGCUGGUGCUACUAGUGGCCCAGGAAGAGUUCGAAGCAGAGCCAUGAAAGCUCAUCUCAGUUCCUUUCUCAGUAGAAAUAUGGACUUCAGCCACAUUGCC
rnacentral:lncRNA from 1 species